rnacentral:rRNA from 1 species
GGUUUUUAGAAAGUAUUAAAAAUUAGGCCUGCUCAGUGAAAUCUAAAUAGCCGCAGUAUUAUGACUGUGCAAAGGUAGCAUAAUAAUUUGUCUUUUAAUUUGGGACUGGAAUGAAAGGUUAGACCAAGUAAUUUUGUCUCGGGGUUAUACUUCGAAUUUUAUAUUUUAGUAAAAAAGCUAAAAUUUAUUUCAGGGACGAGAAGACCCUGUCAAACUUUACAAAUUAAUUUUUCUCUCUUAAGAUAAACUAAAUUUGUUUUACUGGGGCAGUAGGAAAGAAAAUUUUUCUCAUCUAUUUGUGAAUUUAUUUUUUGAAAAACCAGGAAUUUCCUAAAAGAAAAUAAGUUACUGCAGGGAUAACAGCGUAAUUCUUUUUCAGAGUUCUUAUCGAUAUAAGAGUUUGCGACCUCGAUGUUGGAUUAAAACACCUUUUUCGCGCAAUAGUGAAAUUAGGAAGUCUGUUCGACUUUUAAAAUUUUCCA